rfam:Glycine soja cultivar W05 scaffold532_42, whole genome shotgun sequence.
UUCUUAUUCGAUGAUGACUGUCGCGUGUCACGUUCUUAUUGGAUGUCAAUUUCAUAAAAGAUGAAAUACAUUUUUGUUUUCAUUGAUCAAUCAGACCAUGACACAAAACAGUAAUUAUCC